UGGGGAAUAUUGCACAAUGGGCGCAAGCCUGAUGCAGCCAUGCCGCGUGUAUGAAGAAGGCCUUCGGGUUGUAAAGUACUUUCAGCGAGGAGGAAGGCGGUAAGGUUAAUAACCUUAUCGAUUGACGUUACUCGCAGAAGAAGCACCGGCUAACUCCGUGCCAGCAGCCGCGGUAAUACGGAGGGUGCAAGCGUUAAUCGGAAUUACUGGGCGUAAAGCGCACGCAGGCGGUCUGGCAAGUCGGAUGUGAAAUCCCCGGGCUCAACCUGGGAACUGCAUUCGAAACUGGCAGGCUAGAGUCUUGUAGAGGGGGGUAGAAUUCCAGGUGUAGCGGUGAAAUGCGUAGAGAUCUGGAGGAAUACCGGUGGCGAAGGCGGCCCCCUGGACAAAGACUGACGCUCAGGUGCGAAAGCGUGGGGAGCAAACA
rnacentral:rRNA from 1 species